rnacentral:rRNA from 1 species
GGGCUUGACAUCCCACGAACCUGCCUGAAAGGGCGGGGUGCCCGCAAGGGAGCGUGGAGACAGGUGGUGCAUGGCUGUCGUCAGCUCGUGUCGUGAGAUGUUGGGUUAAGUCCCGCAACGAGCGCAACCCUCACCCCUGGUUGCCACCGGGUAAUGCCGAGCACUCGAGGGGAACUGCCAGCGUCAAGCUGGAGGAAGGCGGGGAUGACGUCAAGUCAUCAUGCCCCUUACGCCCUGGGCUACACACGUGCUACAAUGGCCGGUACAAAGGGACGCAAGACCGCGAGGUGGAGCUAAUCCCAAAAAGCCGGUCUAAGUUCAGAUUGCAGUCUGCAACUCGACUGCAUGAAGGAGGAAUCGCUAGUAAUCGCGCAUCAGCCCGGCGCGGUGAAUACGUUCCCGGGCCUUGUACACACCGCCCGUCACACCACGAAAGCUGUCUGUACUCGAAGUCGCUGAG